ensembl:lncRNA
UAGGAUGACAAAUGACUUGUCAAAUGUUGUAAUAAACAGAGCUGGGAUUUCAAUUCUGAACAUCAUUUUACUUAUCUAUAAUAGGACACCUUAAAUUAACAUAACCCUAGGCAUCCUGGAAUUUUUUUUUUUUUUUUUUUUUUGAGACAGGGUUGCACUCUUGUCAGCCAGGCUGGAGUGCAGUGGCUCCAUCUCAGCUCACUGCAACCUCCGCCUCUGGGGUUCAAGUGAUUUCCCUGCCUCAGCUUCCCGAGUAGCUGGGAUUAUAGGCACCUGCCACCACACCCAGCUAAUUUUUUGUAUUUUUAGUAGAGAUGGGGUUUCACCAUGUUGGGCAGGCUAGUCUCAAACUCCUGACCUCAGGUGAUCUUCCAGUCUUGGCCUCCCAAAGUGCUGGUAUUACAGGUGUGAGCCACCGCACACAGUCAGCAUCCUGCAAUUUUUAAAGAACUACAUGAAACUGAGAGUGAGACAUUUAGUCCUGUUACGAAAAUGGAAUCUUCAAUAAUUUAAUGCUAAUGGAGAAGGAAAGGAGAAAAUGGUGCCAUUAAAGCAUAGUUUAAGCAAGUAGUAGGAAAAAGUGACUUUAACACAUCUAACUUUUAGGACUGUUAGUAGGGUGUAUGAUUGAAAGCAUGACAUUCAAUGAAGAAAAGGCUAAACACAAAAUGAUGCUACAUGUUGUUUAAUGCCCAUAUGGUGAGAAAAUAAAGAAUUGCAUGGAAAUAAUAGACAUGCAGUUCGGGAUAUUGAUUACAUCUGAGGGAAAGGGAUGGUGACUCAAUCUGAAAGGGGUAACUAGUGUAUUCUAUUAUAAUGAUAUUUUUUAAGCUGGCAAUAUUAUUCUUUAAACCUGUGUGUAUCUUAAAUAUUGCCCAGUAACUUUUCACAAGGUUAUGCAAGAGCAAUCUUCAGUUAAGGAGGUGGUUAUAGACUCAUGCAUAACUAUGCUCCAUACACAACCUGUCCCAUCUCACCACCUAAAUACUGGUUUAAGAGACAUAGACAUGAUAUUAAUGUUGUUUAGCUUAUCAAAAUCUAGUGUCUUACAUCAUGAGGCUGAUUAUCAGACUUGCUACUGGUGACCUCUCUUUUCUCUCCCACUCCAGUUUCUUCACAAGAUACAUCUUGCCUGACUUCUGCUUGGGUCCUGGCACUGUUAGGCCCGUACACUUAUUCUUAUACAAACUCAAAUCAGUAGACUAUCACACUUACCUACUUGUUGGCUUUCCUUUCUCAGUGUUGGGGAAAACCCAUUUUUCUGGGUUCAAACCUCUUCUGGUAUAAACUACAUAAAUUCUAACAACUUCUGAGUUUUUAGCAAGCAAUUCAUACAAUACAUUCUUCCUGGUAAUUUCAAUACAUGUAGAUCUAAGGAAAUUGAGUACUUACAGUUCUGAAUACAAAAAAACAAUAGGAACAUACUAUUUUAAUAAAAGUAAGAAUUUUUUAAUUGACCUGGGGUACUAAUAGGUGCAUGGUUUUAUUUUCACUGAACUCUUCUCAGUCUUCUGAUUCAUAAAGUUGUACUGAUAAGUUCUGAGAGUGUCUGUUGUGUCCCAAGGAUAUCUAAGCCCUUUCGUGUAAUUAUUUCUCCCUGUUCCCAUCAUCCAGCUCCUGUUCUUUUUGAGCCAUCAGAAAAAAAAAAAAA